CCUUAGCCGUGCCUAAGUAAGUAAUGAAUAUUAGGGCGAUCCCUUGAACUGGCCACCUGAAUCCUCGCUAUCAGCCUGUGUUCUGUACAAGGAACUCAGAUUAAAAUCCAUUUAUCAUCAUUCAAUUAUAUAUUUUAUUGCUUAGAUUGUCAAUUUAGAACUGAGAAUUUAUAUAGCAUUUUAUGUUACUAAUACUCAUUUGUGCAUCCCCUAACCUCUCUUGAAUCUUACCUCAGUAUCUUCACUCUCUUACUCACCUCACCUGAUUCUCGCUCAACUCUCAACUCUCAUCUCACUUUCUCCACUCUCUCUCUCAUUAAAAGUGCAUUUGAACCGUAAGUAGGGUUAAUCGCCUCAAUUGGGUUCAAUCCUCGCUCUCUUUUGCUCUGGCUAAUUAAAGUAGCUAAUCGAAGCAGGGAAUUCAUGGAUCUUAAUGGAUUUUACGGGUCUUCAUGAAUUUCUUAUAAUUGAUACAAUUACAUCGACUUUUUCAUGGAUUUUGUACUAAUCAGGACUACAAUCUUCAUUUUCCAGGAGAUUAGGGCUCUCUCUCGAGGCUUGAAGUCGGGGCUUUUACUUUGAGAUUUGAGUUAGGACUUUCAAUUAAGGCAGAAUGAGAUUGAUAGUAAAUUUCUAGAAGCACAGAACAUCAUGGACUAUAGUUUUCUGCUUGGUGUGCAUUAUCAAGCUCCGCAGCAUCUGCGAUCUCUUAUGUCUUAUAAUCAAAGUCUGGCAGACGGACUUGGAGUAGUUGCGGAAGAAGGUGGGAUGCACAUUUGUAUAACCAAUUUAUGAUUUAAAGAUUCCUAAAUCUUUCGAUCAGGAUAGGUCACACAUAAGAAAAUUGAUUUCUAUUUCACAGCUAAAAGUCACGCAUUUUUCAUAACUAUAUUAACUUCAGAGCACUAGACUCCUUCUGCAGAGUAUCGCGAUAUAACCUUGUGAAUAUCAUUGAUUCACCUUGCACUCUUUUCUUA